UCUGUCAUCUUCCAGUACAAUCACUGGUCAUAAUUUAAGGACUAUGAGAGCACUAGAAGUUACAGAAUUAAUUUUUGAAACCAAAAGUCAUCAACGGCAGGAUGACUGAGUGUGGUUUUCCUUGAUCACCACGGACUUGCCCCGCUGACGUCUCUCAUACCAAUUUCUGCGGAUUAUGUCACCAAAAGGGACCCCAGCUCUAGUUCCACUUAGACGGAUACGCCCAGCUACAUAUGCAAUUUCAGCCUGAUGCAUUUUCCCAUCAAGUGUUCUCCCUGGAGCACCCUUUCAUUAAGCAGGAUAAAUGUUUUUACAGGAGUUUUGCUCUGCUGCCGAUCUUGGAGGCAAAAACAUCCCAUGUCAAAGUAUUAUUAACAAAGACACAAUACGUUAUUAAUAAAAACAAAUAGCAAUUCA